AGAGCGAACGCUGGCGGCAGGCCUAACACAUGCAAGUCGAGCGCCCGUAGCAAUACGGGAGCGGCAGACGGGAUAGUAACACGUGGGAACGCGCCCUUCGGUUCGGAAUAACUCAGGGAAACUUGAGCUAAUACCGAAUACGCCCUUACGGGGAAAGAUUUAUUGCCGAAGGAACGGCCCGCGUCCGAUUAGCUAGUUGGUGAGGUAAUGGCUCACCAAGGCGACGAUCGGUAGCU
rnacentral:rRNA from 1 species